rnacentral:lncRNA from 1 species
UGGGUGAAUGCCAUCCAGUACUUGAGAUAAACAGGAGAGAAUGAAGCUCAGUUGGGGACAGGCAGUGCUAUAUGAUGCACAGAUAUCUGGCCACUAUUCUACUUCCUUGUGAAGGCUGACGCAAAGAGGAACCCAAACACAAUAAAUCCUUGCUGGCAAGGCUGUCCCAGCUCUGAAGCAGUGGAGUCUGCAGGAUCCACAUCCUUUGAGGAAUAAUGAAGAGCCACCUGCAUGAGCAGAGAACUACAUUUGCCAUCGAGACCUUCUAUGCAGAAAGUUCUUUUAAACCAAAGAAAUUACACUCUUCCCUGCCCAACGCAUCAAGGAAGGACAGUGCUGUUUACUAAGCAGGAAGGAGAUCUUCAACAGACAUGCCACCAAGCAGAUUCUUACCGAGCUAAUUAAAAUUGAUCCAUGAAAUGCUGGUGAAAAAUAAGCCUACUUAUCUUCAAUAAAACACCUAGUUUAGUGUUCUUAUCUCA